AGUAUCCACCAUCUCAUCACAUUCUGUCUCUGUGUUCAGUUUAACAAUCACCCUCUGGCUUCCAGAGAAGCCGUGUGCCAGACUUUGCAUGGCUAAAUACCCACUUCAGAGACUGAUUGCCCACACCUGCACCAAGGAAGGGUUAGGUUGGUUGAGACUGCACCUGCACUAAAGAGGAAGGAACCAAAUGAAAACUCACUUUUAUUGUGUUAAAAAUGGACAACAAUGAACACCACUCAGUUUUUGUUACCAGUACAACAGAAUUUAAGUGUGACAUGUAAGUUGAAGAAUCCCAGCUUUAUUUAGAAGAGUGCAAUGCAACUAUUAAUGUUUAUGCCAGAUAGGCAGAGCAAAGGAGGGGUGCAGGGAGAGUACAAAAGUGAGGUUUCUCCCAGUGCCUCAGAUCCACUCUGCUCUGCGGAUAUGUUGUGAGGAGCCAGUUGAAGCCUGCUUUAAAGGCAAACAAAGGGCCGCCCCUGUAAAUUGCCACUCUUUUUGAUUUUGAGAGAAAAAAAUCAUCUGUGUCCUCGCCAUGCUGUCCAUUUGAUUUGGGAAUCCAGGGUUUUAUCGGCAAACAAAGGGCCGCCCCUGUAAAUUGCCACUUUUUUUGAUUUUGAGAGAAUAAAGCGACCUAACCUGGUA